rnacentral:rRNA from 1 species
GGAGUCUGGGCCGUGUCUCAGUCCCAAUGUGGCCGUCCGCCCUCUCAGGCCGGCUACUGAUCGUCGCUUCGGUGGGCCGUUACCCCGCCGACUGGCUAAUCAGAUGCGGAUCCAUCCUGUACCGAUAUUUCUUUUCACCCUGCACCAUGCGGUGCCGGGCGCUUAUGCGGUAUUACCAGCCGUUUCCAGCUGCUAUCCCCCUGUACAGGCCAGGUUAUCCACACGUUACUCACCCGUCCGCCACUAAGUAUCCGCUUGAUCUCUUCUGUGCAAGCACUUCCAAUCUCUCCCCGGAUGCUCCGUUCGACUUGCAUGUGUUAGGCACGCCGCCAGCGUUCAUC